GCCAACUGCAGGUUCAGCUGUGCACUUGUUGUUGCUCCAGCAAAGGCAACUGCUGCUGGUUGGGGUAAUGCACUGCUUGACUGCUAUUACAAAUCCAUUCAUAUGUCCUAGAGUGAUAUGAUAGUAGAACAAUUUUGUAGCUUUGUUUAGCGUAAACAAAAUAGAGCAGCAUUUUUCAUGUCUAUCAUCAUUGCACUUUUCGAUUAAGCACCUAGACUUGGCACGACUUUGAUGACAAGUAUGCUGAAGUCAUUAUAUGUAUAUACUAUCUAUAGAGGUUGAGACU
rnacentral:lncRNA from 1 species